AGUGAACGCUGGCGGCAGGCCUAACACAUGCAAGUCGAACGGACCCUUCGGGGUUAGUGGCGGACGGGUGAGUAACACGUGGGAACGUGCCUUUAGGUUCGGAAUAGCUCCUGGAAACGGGUGGUAAUGCCGAAUGUGCCCUUCGGGGGAAAGGUUUAUCGCCUUUAGAGCGGCCCGCGUCUGAUUAGCUAGUUGGUGAGGUAACGGCUCACCAAGGCGACGAUCAGUAGCUGGUCUGAGAGGAUGACCAGCCACAUUGGGACUGAGACACGGCCCAAACUCCUACGGGAGGCAGCAGUGGGGAAUCUUGCGCAAUGGGCGAAAGCCUGACGCAGCCAUGCCGCGUGGAUGAUGAAGGUCUUAGGAUUGUAAAAUCCUUUCACCGGUGAAGAUAAUGACUGUAGCCGGAGAAGAAGCCCCGGCUAACUUCGUGCCAGCCGCCGCGGUAA
rnacentral:rRNA from 1 species